rnacentral:lncRNA from 1 species
UAGAAUGUGUUGAUUUCUUCUUUACAGGUUUGAUUUUUUCGCGCUAGAGAUUAUGGUCGAAGGAUUCCUUACAGUGGAUUUGAUGGGUAGGAAAGUGUACUAUAAGGGCCGAGUGAUUAAGUGGGAUGUGGAGAUUGGAUUUUUUCACUUGAGUUGCUGAUGAAAAGUCUGGAAAAUGAAGUGAAUUUCCCAAGAGAUUGGGUGAGGACAUUAGGCUAACUGAAGAAUUUCAAAUGCGUGAGUUGUUUGAAAUGUAUAAGUCAGAGAUGCGUUGCCAUGUGAUUGUCACUGCCAUCCCCAUCACAACACCUACACAAACAACAGGUACUACUGAGCACCCCAUGUCCCAGGUCUUAUUCCCCUCACACAGAAGCUGCUUCAACUCACACAUCUGCAUCUUCACGUUCCAAAUGUCCCCUAAAGCCCAGUCAAUUUGUACCUUCAUCUCCCCAAGUUGGUUUUUCAUCUCAUCAAAUUGGUGCUUCAGCUGAGCAAACUAGUCCUUCAACUCUCUAGCUUCUUGGGCCCUGGCUUCUGCAAAGUCUUCGAUCUCGCCACAUUGCUGCUUCAAGCGCCCCUGCCGUGCAUCCAACCCACGCAAAUAUGUCUCACAUUGCUGCUCACACCUGAUAAAUCCACAGGUUCUUGGAUCUCCCUAAGGCGGUUCCAAACCCUAGCAUUGUCACUGGCCGGAAUAUGGGGGGCAUAAGAACGGAUGUAAAAAGUCCAAGCCAACUCACCUUCAUGUUGUUGGGGCACUUGAAAAACAGCUCAUCAUAUGCAUCCGGUUGCUUGCUCCGGAUACAAAUCCAUCGACACCGGCAGUUGGGGCAAUCAACCAGGCGGAGCUGGUUCCCCUAGCUGCCACUGACUGCCGAGGUCAACUCGGCACUGUCCCUCAUCGUGGCUUCAAGCCGACGCGGGGGAAGACGAUGGGGAGGCGGCGGCGGAGACGGCGGCUGGGGAAGAAGAACGGAGGACGGCGGGUCUGUUCUUUGGCGUAUGCGAGAAGGGGCUGCAUCGGCCUUAUCCGCUC